rnacentral:rRNA from 1 species
UACGGAGGGUGCGAGCAUUAUCCGGAUUCACUGGGUUUAAAGGGUGCGUAGGUGGGAAUGUAAGUCAGUGGUGAAAUCUCUGAGCUUAACUCAGAAACUGCCAUUGAUACUAUGUUUCUUGAAUUUUUCUGGAGGUCAGCGGAAUAUGUCAUGUAGCGGGUGAAAAUGCUUAGAUAUGACAUAGAACACCAAUUGCGAAGGCAGCUGGCUACAGGGAUAUUGACACUGAGGCAACGAAAGCGUGGGGAUCAAACAGG